CAUUGAUUUCAAUCUGUUGUUCACGGUAUAACUGCGGUAGCCUCUGCGUUGUUGGUUAUCUCAUCUUUGAUCUUUGCAAGUCAAAGUAGGGGGUUGAGUAAAUUGCUUCCCUGGUUUUUACGAAGUUUUCCUAAUUGAGAACAUGCCUGAAGUGGAUCUUGAGCAUUGCUUGUCGACGGCACUCAAACUGGCUCGGCAGGCUGGAAAGAUGAUCAAAGAUGCCUUCAAAAAGAAGAAAAAUGUGACAUGCAAGUCAUCUCCUCGUGAUUUAGUAACAGAAACAGAUACUGCUGUUGAAGAGUUUCUCUUCUCUGAGCUGAGAAAAGUGUAUGCUGACCACAGAUACAUUGGCGAGGAGUCGGUCUCGUUAGACGGUGAGAAGGUGGAGCUCACCGAUGACCCGACCUGGAUCAUCGAUCCCGUGGACGGCACCAUGAACUUCGUGCACAGCUUUCCGUUCAUCUGCGUUUCUAUCGGUCUAACGGUGAAUAAGGAGCCAGUGGUGGGCGUCAUUUAUAACCCGGUACUGGACCAUAUGUACCACGCACGGAAGGGCUGCGGAGCCUUCCUCAAUAAUCAGAAGAUAUCCGCCUCUGGGGAAACUGAUCUCAGCAAGGCCCUCGUUAUAGGGGAGAUGGGAUCAAGUGAGAUUGCCGAGAAAAGAGAAUGUGUGUACCACAAUGCUAAGACUAUGAUGGAGAAAGCUCACGGGUUCCGCUGCCCGGGCUCGGCCGCGCUCAACAUGUGUCUGGUCGCGGAGGGCGCUAGCGAGGUGUGCUACUACAUGGGAAUCCACUGCUGGGACGUGGCCGCCGGCGCGGUGGUCUGCCGAGAGGCUGGCGCUGUGGUGCUCGACACAGCAGGUGGGGAAUUUGACCUGCUGUCGCGCCGGGUGCUGUGCGCCAGCUCGCCGUCUCUGGGUCAGGAGGUGGCCUCCCUGCUCCACCAGUACCAGCCGCCGCGCGACUAGGGACCUCUUAUUUCAGCCGAGAUCAGUCAACAACGCGAGAAGUCAACCGAGGUCAGCUCAAUCUGCCCAGAGCUCAUGAUCUCGCUGGUAUUUUCCGGGGGUAGAUAACGUUUCGUUAGACAAGCAGGCGUUUUGUUGCGCUAGUUUCCCUACUACCUAGAGCUGCAGAUCAAAAUAGACAGGGACAGGGUAUUCUGUGGAAAAGAUUUCUAGAGCCUUCUAUGGCGCCUUCUAUGACAGGCGCCUGUAAGUUAGAGGUUCAUCGACAGGAACGAAGCUGAAUAUCGAAGUUGAAAAUCGGCUGAAUUGAAACUUAGAAUUGUGAAUGAAUUCGGUGUAGCAAAGGACAUCUUUAUUUGCCUCUAAAAACAAAAAUAUCUUUUUUUUUUGUUCUAUCUAUUUCAUUUAAUUUCAUUCGGAUAUAACAUUGGCGCAUGGACAGGACAGGCCUUGGACAUUGGUAGUCCUCAACGAGCUGCGAUAUUGGAGCUCCAGUGCCAUCAUAAAGAUCCACCUAUCAUGAUAAGUCUCGCUCACUGCCAGACUCAGGGGCAUAGUUCCACUGCCACGUGCUGACACGAGCUGCUAAAUGGCUGGCAAUGUACCAAGCUCCCCGUCAUACAAGCAUUAGGUUUUGUGGUCGAGACCGCUGCCAAAAGCCGUUCCGGCGUGUGCCAGGUUUAUGCGCGGACAGUCUCUUUUUGUUGUUUUUUUUUAAUUUUUUUUCCUUAGUUUGUUUGCGGUCCAGGUCA